UGGCCGUCGUCAGUCAAUCGUCGUCCAUCCACAAGGCAACAUUUAAUUUUAAUUUUAAGUAUCUUUAUACUAUAAUUUUAUACACAUUAUACAUAUGUGUAUUGCGCGAAUGAAACGAAGUUAAGUCAUAGUUAUUUUUAAUUGCAACACGUGAUUGCGGAAAUUGGAAAAAAAUUACGAAUUCGACUUUUAUGGAUAAAUGUUAAACGUAUCCUGUGCUGUGAAAAUAGUGAAGUUUGAAACGAGAGUGUUCACCGAAAGCCAAAUUCUCACAUGUUUAUUAAUUUUCAACAUUAUCUGUUCAACAACGAAACGAACCCUUUCCGACUGUAUGUUAUAAUUUACCCAUCGAUUUAAGUUAUACCCAACCGAAUUAUGUUACUGUAACGAAAUUUUGUUCCUACCGAGUGAGAAAAAAAUUAAGUGAAAAAAAUAAUUAUCUGAAGUGCGAAAUAACGAACCAAAUGAAAGAAGAUUUCCCUAAUGCGAAAUAUUGAUAGGGAGGGCGGGAAAAUAGCAAAUUUCUGAAGCCGCGCUGUGAUAAAAAUUGUGCCCUCGGCCGCCAUAAUCAACAGUUGUGUUUGUGUGUGGACAAAAAUAGAGUGCGAAAGUGGCAUCGUAUGAAUCGUGCCACUGAUCUCGCACGGGUAGUCUACUAAUCAUCAAGUGGCGCAACUUCAGCAUCCACAUACGUGUGCUGUCCACAGAGCGGCGUUGGAGCGGUGCGCUUAAUUCACGUACCGCCAAGAACACAACGAGCGUCGGCGUAUUCGGAAGCAAGUCGGAUCAUACGAGGACCAAUCGACAUUGGUCUGGAAGAAACACCCAUAGAUAAGAGAGCUGAUCGCGUUCCUGACUGAAUCCGGCGGAUCGCAUCUCCGUGGCGUGCACGACAUCAUCAGUUCGAGUUGGACCACAAAAUCAGCAUGAACUUGAUGACACACAAUCAUGAUAAAUGAUAAUCUGUUUGGCGAGAAGCGAAGGCAGUGAAAUUGAAGCAAUUAUCUAGGGUAAAGAAAACAAAAGUAAAAACACAUACCGCCGAAGCACAGGAACGUAGAGUAAGGCAGCAAGUAACAGAUAGACAAUUGAAUAAAGAAAAUUAAAAUUAAAUGUUUGAACCUGACCCAGAAGCAGCAAGCAGCAGCAAUGGCAGACAGUGAACAGCACCAUCAAGAUCAUCAUCAUCUUCGUCUGAACGCGAGCAAUGGAAUCUCCAGCAGUGCAUCUGGUUUACCGAAAUUGAAAGUGGAACGCAAAAACUCUAGUCGCGCCCGAAACGCAAAACAGAGCGAAAGUGACAGUGAAAAAGUGACUUUGUAUCUGAGCGGCCAGAAGGCAAAUGAGUAUCAAAGUAGGAUGGCUACCGGCGUAGACGCACACGAAGCUCCGGUGGUUGUGACCAUCCGAAAAAGUGCCAACAUAAUCAAAUGUGAUAGUGAUAAGGAAGUGAAUUCACUGAAAAGGAAAAAAGUGCCGCCUCCACAGCAGGCAAACGGGGUAGAACAAGAAACAACAUACGCCUCAGUGGUUAAAUCAUCGGAUAAAGAAAACACCCAACCGUCUUCGGUUGGCGCCAAUUCGGGAAUUUCUAGCAAUAAGCGCAUGAAAAUGGAUCCACUGGAUAGUGAUAGUAAAGUUGUGGCAAGUAAACCACCCAUUCCUCCGAAACCAGAUGCCCAUAAAUCAGCGCAACAAGGUGCGGUAAAAUCCAAGAAAAAUGUUGUAACCGAAGCACACAAUGCGUUGACCGUUCAGAAGCUGCUUGCCCAGAACGAACAGAUGCGGCUGGAAAUCAACGAGCUGCGAAAUAGUUUGGCCACGGAACGUAGUGCCGUGAGAGUUUUAAGAGCCCAGAACGACUCCGAUUUGCGGAAGUCCAAGACGGAAUGCAAAAAACUGCAAGAGGCUCUCUCACAUCAGAAGCGUAAUGCGACUGCUGCACCAGCGAACAUGCCGGCCGCUAAAAGGCCGCACCGAACCACCGUUGCUGAUGAGCAGCAGAGUGGCCAAAAUUCGUCGCAUCAGCUGAAUCUGGAAAUUCUCAAACUCAAUCAGGAGCUUUCCGCGUUACGUGAGACAAAUAAGUUCUUGGAGGAGAAGAUACAAGUUUCCUCGGAGGCUGAACGGCGGAAAGCUGCUGAUAUUCGAGUGCAAAGGGAUCUGUACGAACUACGAUUGACUCAACUCACCAAGUCUGCCAAAAGCGAGAUACAACGACUGCUGGAGGAGCUGAAAUCUAAAGAUCGAAACAACGGUCUUCUAAGGAAGGAGAUUUUAGCACUGCAAGGAGGAGGCGGAGGCGGAGGAGGAGCAGGUGAUACAACUGCCAAGAAGGAGAGAAAGGCUGCUAAAAAUUCCGCUCAGCAAUCGCAAGAGGUGAGCGAUGCGGGAUUGACAGAAAAGAAUUACAUAAGAUGGCAACAAGACAAUACGAUGCGAAAACUGCGUGAGUCCGAACCAUGUAGCGGAAACGUCAGCAAGAGUGCAAGCCACAGCAGCAUCCAGUCUGUCUGCGAAGAGCUGGAACAGAAUGAUGCUGCAGCUGAUCCGGUAGCAGUCCCGGGAAAAACAGAUCUAACGCACAACCACAGGUUCUCUCCUUUUGUGGAAACGAACGGUUCGACUGUUAACAGCAGCAACAGCAACACCAAUAACCCCACAACGAACGGUUAUAGCAGUAGUAAUAGCACCGUAAACUUAGAUUUAGAAACGACGACGUGUGGCGGCGAUGACAGCAAGUCACAGCCACACGAAUCACGAACAAUGGAAGCUCACAUAGAUUUGCAUGCUCCUGAUAGAUUAGACCCCCAGACGCAAACAAUAGCCAGUGAAGUCGAUCAGGCCAGCAACGGUACUGAACCGACAAGUUUUAUCAGAACGACUAUGGCCCCCAGGAGGCAGCUGUCGGCGGUUUCGGAUGCUGAUUCGGCCAUAUCGUCAGCGCCUUCAUCGUUGAGUCCACAGCCGACCUGCUGUCCCAAUUCGCCAGAAGUCCUGCGAGCACACGCCCACCAACAGCAACAACAACAUUUGCAAUCCCUGCGCGACGAAAGUCAACUGGUCGAGAUCAAAAUGGAGCUAGACCGGAUGCAGACCAAGUACGACCUACUGAGUGCGGACUACGGCAAAGCCAAAGAACAGAUCGACGAACUCGAGCGGGAGUUAAUGGAGGCGACGCAGGUGUCUCGCGAGAGAACGAAGCUGACUGAGCGUAUCGAGUAUUUGGAGCAGCGAGAGGAAGGUUUGCUGCGCGAGACUCAUGAACUGCGGGAACAGAAUGAACUGCUCGAAUUUCGAAUUAUUGAGCUCGAGGAAAGCCAUGAUAAGUGGUCCCUUCGUAGCAACGCCAGCCCAACGGUCGGUAGCAGUAACGGUAGCACCACGAAGGAUGUGUGGACCGACACGGACAAGGAGCACGAUGAUCUGAUCAUGCACUCGGAACGGUCCGACUCGGGGGUAACCUCUCCGAACAGCCAUCACCAUCUGGAGGACCACCGAACGAGUGGGGUCCCUUCGCCCUGCUGUGACCUCUCGCUGCUGGACCAAAUCCCGACGGACGACGUGCGGAAGCGCAUCGUCACCAUGACCAAACGGGUGUGCUACGAUGAGGAUGAUAAAAUGUGUCUGCUUCAGAUACUGUCUCUGCUGAACAAUUUGGAAGCACUCUCGCAGGAUCACGAAAUCGCUGUCGAGACGACCAGUGUAGAAACACCUGUUAAGUACAACAAUCCUUUCCCGGAGAACCAACCACCAAAAUUGCUCACGGUAAGCUCGACUCCGUUUAAGCAUGGCAAAAUAGUGGCCACAGUUCAGCCCUUCAACAAUAACAACAACUUAACGACCACCAUUUCAUCUGGUGGUAAUGACUCGAAGGGGCUCUCGAUUGCCUCGAUUGCCGAGACCUUCGGUGGUAUGAAGAAAUCCUCCUCCAAAUGGGCAUGUACUAGUCUGCAGGAGAGUGGCGUUUUCGUGGACGAGAUAAUGCUCAGCAGCGUGGCAACGCAAACGGAACUGGAAGAUUUCCCUUGUCUGGAACGAACCAAUGCGGAGCUUUGCGCGGAAAUUGAGAAGCUGAACAAAUUCAGACAAAAGAUCGAAGAAUGCUCCGGGAAAAGGAGUGGCAAAAAUCCCGUUGGGGUGAGUUUGUCGCUGCCGGCGGAAUCGUGCGAGCAGAAGAGGCUGCAGUACUACAUUGAUCGGCUGGAGCAGCUGGAGAAUAAAAUCAAGGUGUACGAGAGUAGUGGUGAUCAACAGAUCCGACAUUUGGCGAACCGGUUACAGCGGGAGGUGCAGCUCGAAGGGUGGGUGAAGCAGCUGGGUGAGCGAAUAAAUAAAUUGGAGGACGAGAACGAGCGGCUGGAGGAGGAACGAUGCGAGUUGGAGGAAAUCGAAAACGACACGAGACUGAAACUGCAGCGGAUGGAGAUUGACUACGAAGUGAUGGGUCAGCGCAACGCGGAAUUGGAAAUGACGAAGAGUUCGUACCAAUCGAAAUACCAGGAUGCGAAGGAGAAUGUGGUGAAUUUGGAGGAACUGGUGCACAAAUGUGAAGAGAGAAUUUUUGUCCUCGAGGAAACCGAAAACGAGUUGAAUGAUCGUAUCGAUCUGAUAUUGGCGUUUAUUCCGGUGCUGUUGAUGUUCAACACGUGGCAACUGCACGAACAGAUGACGGCGGUGCGAAAGCAUAUUGCCAUAAAUUAUAUACCGCCGGAGCACAUCGAGUACUACGAGUCCACUAAUGACGACCUCCAAUCGAGACUGAAUGAGCUGAUGAAUCGUGAGAAGGAGCUCACGCAAAAUAUUGCCGACCUCAAUCGUGCCUACAAUGAGACGUUGGAAAAUGCGGACAAUUUGUGGGCCCAGAUGGAGAAAGAGUACAAAGACAAAAUAUCCAAGUGUGAGGCGAUUGAAGCUAACCUCAAAUCGAAGAUCGCUCAACUGGAGGAACGGCUCAUAAAAGACAGUGAUUACGCCCACGAGCGGAUUUCCCAUUUGGAGGAGGCAGAGAACAGUCUCAAGAGCCGAGUAUCCAAAUUGAACAAAGAAAACAGAGAAUUAAUCGCCAAACACGCUGAGCUUUUGGAGGAGUACACCACGUUGAAGGAGGAAUAUCUGAAGCUACAGGAGUAUCUUCGAGGGCCGGCAGCGGAAAAUCUUGAGAGGGAGAAACGCAAAAUACUUACACUGGAAGAGGAGCUCAAUCACUCCACACAACUCCUCAGAGAAGCCGAACUGACCCUUAAAUCGGAAGUUGGCCAAAUCCGGGGAAAACUGAUGAGCGCGACCAAAGAGUUGAAUCAUAUCGAGGUGACAAACAGCGAGCUCCGAGAGGAAGUUGAGACUCUUGAAAAUCGAGUCCGAGAGCUGCUGGCAUUACGCAAUGGCGACGAGGAGCGGAUUAGACAUCUGACGGAGGAACUGCAGACCAAGCUGGCCCAAAUUAGCCAGUUGCAACAGCACAAGUCCAGCAGCACAAGAACAGCGUGUCAUGGCCGAAGUCUAGCGCAGGAAUUGGAGCGUCCCGUCAAAGGGUCGUACUCGAAGCUAGGCUAUGAGAUUCAUCCACUGAGCCGAAAAUUCGACAGUGACAGCAGUGGAAGUGAGGCGAAAUUCCCCGUCGCGGAAGUGAGGGAAGUAAAAAGCUUGGCUGAGACAAUUAUUCUGAACGCCGAAAGUCGAGGCGUGCGAGCACCAAAGAAGUCUUUCGUCGAGGAGGCGCGAAGCCGUUUUGCCCGCUGGGUGUAAAACUCCAACUCCAAGCCCUGAAAUACUAACUGUAAAUUGACAUUUUGGGCAACAUCACCGUAAAAGGCGUUGCCACCGAGCACAUUUUGCUUUCUGGUUGGACUUGUGAUGCCAACAGCAAGAACUGAAAGUGUGUCAGAGGGUUUUGGAUGUCAAGCUCUGGGUGGGAUGUGUGAGGAUUGUGAUAAUCUGAAGUGCCACACUUUGCGUUGGAGAACUCAAAGGAACUCGUAAGUUACGUCGUCACAAAAUACGUCUCUUCAUCAAAGAAAUCGUCGGUGAAUAAAAUCAAAGUCGAUGCAAAAAAAAUAAUACGCACAUGCAUCAAGCAACACACCUAGGACUCAUCGUAGCAGUCGCUCUCCUGAGAAAGGAAAUGAAUCUAGUCGUUCACUUUUUUUGUUUGUUUUUUUUUUCUUUUGUAUCAAAAUAGAUAUACGAAGGUUUACUUUUAGUUUAGGAGACACCUCACUGUAUAGAUGACACUGGAAAAAUAUUGUUGAAGACUUAUUUAAGAGCAAAUCACGAUCAUAAUUAGCAGACCCCUUGCAGCGAAACGAGCUUCUAUUUUGAAUAUGUUUUGGGUUAGUGACGGUGAAAAAAUUAAUUUCUUUUUGGAAAUUAUUUUCUUCAUUUUCGUUUGCACUAGAAGUUUCAUUUCUACUCGUUUUUGCUACAGCCGCACACCUAGUUUUCAUCAUUAUUUUCCUGUAAUAAUUAUGUUAAGCUUGCACUUUGGUACGAAGUUUUGUUUUGUUGUUUUUUUUUUGUAAAUACGUUAAGUUAACAUUAUUAUUACGAUAGUUUUUAUUUGGUAGUACAAUUUUUAUACUUAGCGCAAUGCCUUACUCCGAAAGAAACAAGACACAACGCUUGGAGAGGUAGUGCUGUGAAUUCAUGAAUUUCUUUCGUUGAUUUUCUUUUUCUCUGUUCCCGUAGAUUUCGAUCUUUUCCGAAAACCGUUAACCUUUGCAACAUUUUUUCUUUAAUUCUGUGUGUAUUGUUUACGAAUGUUCAUUUGGAACGGUCCAUUCGUUCGUUUUGGAACAUAUUUGUAGUUUAUUCCUUUUUUCAGUUUAUAUUUUUUUCGCUAAGAAUCACUAUAAUCUGAUACAAGUGCGCCACUUGGUGACCACUUUACCCACUGUGCAUGGUAGAUUGCAUGCCAAAACUAUAUCCGACAAGCAACCAGUUUAGAAAAUGUGAGCUUCCACAUUAUUAUGUAUCCCAUUGUGAAACACAAAAUGCCCAUUGUAGGCAAUGAUAUCCAUUUGGAGCAUAUACUUGUGAAAGAAAACAAUAUAUUGCAUGUUUAUAGUA